ensembl:lncRNA
GAUAGGAUAGAUACAGUAUGAUAGAUACAGUGUGAUAGAUACAGUAAGAUAGAUAGGUUUGAUACAGUAUGAUAGAUAGGAUAGAUACAGUAUGAUAGAUACAGUGUGAUAGAUACAGUAUGAUAGAUACAGUGUGAUAGAUAGAUACAGUAUGAUAGAUGUGAUAGAUAGGAUAGAUACAGUAUGAUAGAUACAGUAUGAUAGAUAGGAUAGAUACAGUAUGAUAGAUAGAUACAGUAUGAUAGAUUGGUUCGAUACAGUGUGAUAGAUGUGAUAGAUACAGUAUGAUAGAUAGGAUAGAUACAGUAUGAUAGAUAGGAUAGAUACAGUAUGAUAGAUGUGAUAGAUAGGAUAGAUACAGUAUGAUAGAUACAGUAUGAUAGAUAGGUUAGAUACAGUGUGAUAGAUAGGUUUGAUACAGUGUGAUAGAUACAGUGUGAUAGAUACAGUAUGAUAGAUACAGUAUGAUAGAUACAGUAUGAUAGAUACAGUAUGAUAGAUACAGUAUGAUAGAUAGGUUCGAUACAGUAUGAUAGAUAGGUUCGAUACAGUAUGAUAGAUAGGUUCGAUACAGUCUGAUAGAUAGGUUAGAUACAGUCUGAUAGAUAGGUUCGAUACAGUGUGAUAGAUAGGUUCGAUACAGUGUGAUAGAUAGGUUCGAUACAGUAUGAUAGAUACAGUAUGAUAGAUACAGUAUGAUAGAUACAGUAUGAUAGAUAGGUUCGAUACAGUAUGAUAGAUAGGUUCGAUACAGUAUGAUAGAUACAGUAUGAU